GCUCUUAAACCACACUAAUGAUGAAAGGCCAACCACUGAAAUCAGCCUCCGUAUUGGGCUUCAAAGCAGAGGGAAGAAACUGUGGGAUGAUGCCAGGAACCUAAGGCUCCCGCCCUUGGCCCAUGCACCUGUGCUCACCGUCACACCUGCAGUUGAUUCCAGCGGAUUGAAGCACUAUUUAUGAUGGCGGACCUGUGUCAUUCUUCGCUGGACUGUUGAGCCAUCAGCGUCAGUCUCUCUGAAAUCUGCAAAUUGGAAUCUGCGAGUUUUGUGAUUGUUUCUAACUGGUCUUUUUCUGUGUGUGUGUGUAUACUGUGAAUAAACGCACUGUCUCCUUUGCCAAGGA